rnacentral:lncRNA from 1 species
CUCUUGGAUCAAUAAUUAUAGCUUCCAUGAAAUUAUGUAGCAUUAAGGCAUUCAAAGACUGAAUAGUUUCCCCAUGCUAGAUGCAGUAUGGGUGUUGAGUAUUCAGUAAUGUAAAAUACAAACAAGAUCUAUUUUUGUGCAAUUAAGUUGCAAUUUUAUCAGUGGCAACUGCUACUUAAAGAAGAAAGAGCCAUUAGUUGCCAUUAAAAAAAAUGAAAGCAACUACCUAAAAGCCAUAGUUUUAGGUUGAAUCUACCUUUGUUGUAAUUUAUUAAAUUAUUCAUUUCACCAAGUGAAAACAAUUUAUUUGAUUUGAAUUAAAAUAAAAUGUUGAAGGUAUCUAUGUUUUUAAUUAAAAGAAUUAAUUGAAAUUUCCUAAACGAAGGAAGGUUCUAAUCCCAGUAAGAGAGCCUCCUCUUAAUGCAUCCAUUUUCACUAAUGCUCAUCAACACUGUGCUGUGCUUAUAAAACGACCUGUUUUUUUAAAUGUCCUAUAACUUAAGUAACCAAGAAGGUAGUAUGCAAUCAGUGAGUUUAAUAACUGUGUCCGGGCAAGCAUGAAUUACUGGCCUCAAGAUUUUCAUUACAACUUAACUACUGCUGUAUAUGCUGAAUCUUUCCCUGCCCACAAAUAAUGUCCAGUUAGUAUAUUCUGUCAUGUGAAAGUAUGCUAAGUGUGCUCACCUGUCAGUAAACUUGGGUGUUUAAUUAUUUUUAAAUAGUUAUUUUCAACUUUGCUCUUUCAAAGAAGAGUGAAAAAUACCAUAGAUUCUGCUUGCCAUGUUGUGUACUUAUUAAAGGAAUUUUGUUUUUAUAACCAAUAUGCUGACAUUGUAGUGGUAUGAUUAAAUAACUUUUCAUAUACAUCCAUUGGCUUCAUAUUUUCAUAUGAUAAACAGAAUUAAAUCAGAUAAUGAAGUGAAAUAAUACUGUACAUAGUAGAGAUUACAAGGAAGACUGGCACUGCUCAUUUGACAAGGAGAAGCAAUAGAGACCUGAAGUGGGUUUCCCAGUCAUGUCUCCUGUGCCUUGGACACAUCAUCUUGUUUCUGUGAUACCCUCCAUGACGCUGUCUUUAUUACGGAUGCCGUGUCUGCUGCUACUCUCCAUCUUUACCUGCAAUAAGUGAAUUACUGAAAAGCACGAGAGUAGAAAUGCAAAGUCAGAAUAUAAAGGUGUAUACCUUUAAAAUCACAGUUUUAAAUAAGUUUGAAGGAAAAACACUAAUUACAUUUAAUAAAUUUAAAGAUAUAUAAAAUUAAGAUGGCUUUACAUGUAAUAGUUAUAUGCUUUGUUAUUAUUCUUAUUUAAAAUUGCCUCAGGGUUCUGUUUCUUUGGUUUUAAAGGGCUUUUUGUUUUUGUUGUUGUUGGCUUUGUUUGUUUGUUUUUUAAUUUUUAUUGUUCCAUCUCUUUGUGUUGGUAUCACUCUGUAUACAGAACUCUCAUUAAAUAAAGAUGGUAAUAGUGG